rnacentral:rRNA from 1 species
CAGUCGCCGCGGGAAUACGAAGGGGGCUAGCGUUGUUCGGAUUUACUGGGCGUAAAGGGCGCGUAGGCGGGCGAAUAAGUCAGGGGUGAAAUCCCAAGGCUCAACCUUGGAACUGCCUUUGAUACUGUUUGUCUUGAGUUCGAGAGAGGUAAGUGGAACUGCGAGUGUAGAGGUGAAAUUCGUAGAUAUUGGGAAGAACACCGGUGGCGAAGGCGGCGACCUGGUCCUUUACUGACGCUGAGGCGCGAAAGCGUGGGGAGCAAACAGGAUUAGAUACCCCUGUAGUCCCUGUCUCUUAUAC